rnacentral:rRNA from 1 species
CAUGUGGGCGAGUUGCAGCCCACAAUCCGAACUAAGGAUGGGUUUAGGAGAUUGCCUUCACCUUUCGGUGUCGAUACCCAUUGUCCCACCCAUUGUAGCCCGCGUGUAGCCCAGAUAAUUCGGGGCAUGCUGACCUACCGUUGCCCAUUCCUUCCUCCUCUUUAGCAGAGGCGGUCCCAACAGUGUCCCCACCAUCCCGGAGGACGAGCUGGCAACUGUUGGCGUGGGUCUCGCUCGUUGCCUGACUUAACAGGAUGCUUCACAGUACGAACUGACGACGGCCAUGCACCUCCUCUCAGCUAGUCAAGUAGAGUCUUCAGCCCGACUAUCAUUCAGCUGUGUUAUCUGGUGAGUUUCCCGGCGUUGAGUCCGAUUAAACCGCAGGCUCCACCUGUUGUGGUGCUCCCCCGCCAAUUCCUUUAAGUUUCAGCCUUG